rnacentral:rRNA from 1 species
UGAUACUGGCAAGCUUGAGUCUCGUAGAGGGGGGGUAGAAUUCCAGGUGUAGCGUUGAAAUGCGUAGAGAUNUGGAGGAANANCCGGUGGCGAAGGCGGNCCCCNUGGACGANGANUGACGNUCAGGUGCGAAAGCGUGGGGAGCAAACAGGAUNAGAUACCCUGGUAGUCCACGCCGUAAACGAUGUCGACUUGGAGGUUGUGCCCUUGAGGCGUGGCUUCNGGAGCUAACGCGUUAAGUCGACCGCCCGGGGAGUACGGCCGCAAGGUUAAAACUCAAAUGAAUUGACGGGGGCCCGCACAAGCGGUGGAGCAUGUGGUUUAAUUCGAUGCAACGCGAAGAACCUUACCUGGUCUUGACAUCCACGGAAGUUUUCAGAGAUGAGAAUGUGCCUUCGGGAACCGUGAGACAGGUGCUGCAUGGCUGUCGUCAGCUCGUGUUGUGAAAUGUUGGGUUAAGUCCCGCAACGAGCGCAACCCUUAUCCUUUGUUGCCGGCGGUCCGGCCGGGAACUCAAAGGAGACUGCCAGUGAUAAACUGGAGGAAGGUGGGGAUGACGUCAAGUCAUCAUGGCCCUUACGACCAGGGCUACACACGUGCUACAAUGGCGCAUACAAAGAGAAGCGACCUCGCGAGAGCAAGCGGACCUCAUAAAGUGCGUCGUAGUCCGGAUUGGAGUCUGCAACUCGACUCCAUGAAGUCGGAAUCGCUAGUAAUCGUGGAUCAGAAUGCCACGGUGAAUACGUUCCCGGGCCUUGUACACACCGCCCGUCACACCAUGGGAGUGGGUUGCAAAAGAAGUAGGUAGCUUAACCUUCGGGAGGGCGCUUACCACUUUGUGAUUCAUGACUGGGGUG